UAACGAAGUUCUUCACUGACKYGGGGAGCUGACGAAAAGGCAGAACGUCUAACAUGGCGCGAGGAGCGUGUGUUAUUUUUUGUACAGUUAUACUAAUGUUGAACAUGUUCUUUGAUCCCUCCCAUGGUUUUGUUGCGGGAAUGAAACAUCCCACCACCAACACGGGCAAACGAUCAGAUUUGAACGUAAAGGCUAGACUACUAAGCCAGCGACUGUACUGUACAACCUGUCCAGAUUGUGAAGACUGGUGUUACCAAGAUGUCACUAAGAAACUCGGAAGACGAAAGAUCAACAGAAAGUAGAUAUUUAACCAAUAACAAAUGUUCUAAAAAUAUACUUUUGAACUAAAAUAAAAAAUGAUAUGUAUACUUUU